rnacentral:rRNA from 1 species
CGGGCGGACGGGUGAGUAACGCGUGGGUAACCUGCCUCAUACAGGGGGAUAACAGUUAGAAAUGGAUGCUAAUACCGCAUAAGACCACAGUACUGCAUGGUACAGUGGUAAAAACUCCGGUGGUAUGAGAUGGACCCGCGUCUGAUUAGGUAGUUGGUGAGGUAACGGCCCACCAAGCCGACGAUCAGUAGCCGACCUGAGAGGGUGACCGGCCACAUUGGGACUGAGACACGGCCCAG